GCAACGCCGCGUGAGUGAAGAAGGUCUUCGGAUCGUAAAACUCUGUUAUUAGGGAAGAACAAAAUGUGUAAUAACUAUGCACGUCUUGUACGGUACCUAAUCAGNAAGCCCACGGCUAACUACGUGCCAGCACCCGCGGUAAUACGUAGNUGCAAGCGUUAUCCGGAAUUAUUGGGCAGUAAAGCGCGCUGUAGCGGUUUUUUAAGUCUGAUGUGAAAGCCCACGGCUCAACCUGGAGGGUCAUUGGAAACUGGAAAACUUGAGUCAGAAGAGGAAAGUGGAAUUCCAUGUGUACGGUGAAAAUGCGCAGAGAUAUGGAGGAACACCAGUGGCGAAGGCGACUUUCUGGUCUGUAACUGACGCUGAUGUGCGAAAGCGUGGGGAUCAAACAGGAUUAGAUACCCUGUUAGUCCACCCCGUAAACGAUGAGUGCUAAGUGUUAGGGUUCCGCCCUUAGUGCUGCAGCUAACGCAU
rnacentral:rRNA from 1 species